rnacentral:rRNA from 2 species
UGGGGAAUAUUGCGCAAUGGGGGGAACCCUGACGCAGCAACGCCGCGUGAAGGAGGAAGGUUUUCGGAUUGUAAACUUCUUUGAUGAGGGACGAAAAGAUGACGGUACCUCGAAAACAAGCCACGGCUAACUACGUGCCAGCAGCCGCGGUAAUACGUAGGUGGCAAGCGUUGUCCGGAUUUACUGGGUGUAAAGGGCGCGUAGGCGGGAUGAUAAGUCAGAUGUGAAAUCUCCAGGCUUAACCUGGAAGCUGCAUUUGAAACUGUUGUUCUUGAGUAUCGGAGAGGCAAGUGGAAUUCCUAGUGUAGCGGUGAAAUGCGUAGAGAUUGGGAGGAACACCAGUGGCGAAGGCGGCUUUCUGGACGAUAACUGACGCUGAGGCGCGAAAGCGUGGGUAGCAAACAGG